GGACUUGAGCAAGAUUAGAUGCUACAGGUGCAAUGAGUUAGGACAUCACGUCAGAGAUUGCCCACAAUGAAGAGGUCGGACAAGGGAUACUACAGCAACAGCCAGUAGCGAGUCAGAGGGUGAUGUCCUAGAGAUAUCUGAUGAGAUAUUUAUUUCUUUUCAGUAGUAAAUUUUAGAUUCUACAUGCACCAAUCAUAUAUGUUGCAGAGAAGAGCAGUUUGACUCCCUAG
rnacentral:lncRNA from 1 species